UGCCAGCCGCCGCGGUAAUACGUAGGGGGCAAGCGUUGUCCGGAUUUACUGGGUGUAAAGGGUGCUCAGGCGGAAUUAUAAGUCAGAGGUGAAAUCCCGAGGCUUAACCUCGGAACUGCCUUUGAUACUGUAAUUCUAGAGUUCGGGAGAGGGUGAUGGAAUAUCUGGUGUAGCAGUGAAAUGCGUAGAUAUCAGAUAGAACACCAAUGGCGAAGGCAGUCACCUGGCCCGUAACUGACGCUAACGCACGAAAGCGUGGGGAGCAAAAAGGAUUAGAUA
rnacentral:rRNA from 1 species